UAGAUUGAAGCCCGUUGUUUUGGGUAUUUAGCUGUUAACUAAGUUUUCGUGGGUUAGAGUCCCAUCAAUCUAG